AACGCAUAUUGCACUCUCUGGUAUUCCGGGGAGUAUGCCUGUUUGAGGGUCAGUAAAUAAUAAUUAUCAUAAUCUUUUGAUUGUGGAAUUGGGCCUUUAUUUCAUUUUAAUGAUUUAUGGCCUUAAAUUUAUGUUACCGCUUGUUUAAUAUGAAAUCCGACCGAAUGGAGCAAUUAAACAUUCUCUCGUUAGGCGGAUUCAUCAAGCAAUUACGAUUUUUUGGCCGUCGAAGCACUUUUUUUUUAGAAGUGCUUGGUCGAGAUCGUAAGAUACAUUUUUAACAAUGACCUCAAAUCAGGCAAGAAUACCCGCUGAACUUAA
rnacentral:misc_RNA from 1 species